AAGUCGUAACAAGGUUUCCGUAGGUGAACCUGCGGAAGGAUCAUUAUUGUCGUCUACGUGGCCUUCGGGCCCCCAAACACAAUAACCCUUGUCUUUUUUUGUGCACCCUUUGUUUCCUCGGCAGCUUUGCCUGCCAACGAGGACCCCCCAAAAACCUUUUGCAAUCUUAGUAUAACAAUCUGAAAACAAACAAUAUUAAAACUUUCAACAAUGGAUCUCUUGGCUCUGG
rnacentral:misc_RNA from 1 species